AACUUUCAACAACGGAUCUCUUGGUUCUGGCAUCGAUGAAGAACGCAGCGAAAUGCGAUAAGUAAUGUGAAUUGCAGAAUUCAGUGAAUCAUCGAAUCUUUGAACACACAUUGCGCCCGCCAGUAUUCUGGCGGGCAUGCCUGUCCGAGCGUCAUUU
rnacentral:rRNA from 1 species